rnacentral:rRNA from 1 species
UACGUAGGGUGCGAGCGUUGUCCGGAAUUAUUGGGCGUAAAGAGCUUGUAGGCGGUUUGUCGCGUCUGCCGUGAAAAUCCGGGGCUCAACCCCGGGCCUGCAGUGGGUACGGGCAGACUAGAGUGCGGUAGGGGAGACUGGAAUUCCUGGUGUAGCGGUGAAAUGCGCAGAUAUCAGGAGGAACACCGGUGGCGAAGGCGGGUCUCUGGGCCGUAACUGACGCUGAGGAGCGAAAGCAUGGGGAGCGAACAGG